rnacentral:rRNA from 1 species
GACGAACGCUGGCGGCGUGCUUAACACAUGCAAGUCGAACGGAAAGGCCCUGCUGUUGUGGGGUGCUCGAGUGGCGAACGGGUGGGUAACACGUGAGUGACCUGCCCUUGGCUUGGGGAUAACUUCAGGAAACUGGGGCUAAUACCGGAUAGGAGCUCCGGCUGCAUGGUGGGGGGUGGAAAGUUUCGGCGGUUGGGGCUGGACUCGCGGCUUAUCAGCUUGUUGGUGGGGGAGUGGCUUACCAAGGCUUUGACGGGUAGCCGGCCUGAGAGGGUGACCGGCCACAAUGGGACUGCGAGACGGACCAGACUCCUACGGGAGGCAGCAGGGGGGAAUAUUGCACAAUGGGCGGAAGCCUGAUGCAGCAACGCCGCGUGCGGGAUGACCGCCUUCGGGGUGUAAACCGCUUUCGCCUGUGACGAAGCGUGAGUGACGGUAAUGGGUAAAGAAGCACCGGCUAACUACGUG